ensembl:lncRNA
CAACGUUUCAGCAUCACUGUGUCUUCUUCAGGGUGAUGUCAUGAAUACUUGAACCAGGUUAUGUAGACAAACAGUGCUAUUAGUGCAACCAAUGUCAAUAGUGAGGGGUGUGUCAUAAUUAUUAAGUUAUUAAUUAAAAUUAAUUAGUGAAACUUUUAAAAAACAAUAGUUUAUGGCGUAUUAAAUAUAGUAGGCUAUAUUAUAUAUAUCCCCCUCUCCUAUUGUUAAAUUCACUCACCGCUAGGUGUAAUUGAUCCUAUCGUACCAGUUAAAAACACUCAUUCAGACCGCUAGGUGUAGUUGAUCCUAUCUUACCAGUUAAAAACGCUCAUUCAGACCGCUAGGUGUAAUUGAUCCUAUCGUACCAGUUAAAAACGCUCAUUCAGACCGCUAGGUGUAAUUGAUCCUAUCGUACCAGUCUAAACACUCAUUCAGACCACUAGGUGUAAUUGUUUGUAGGUCUCUUAUCCACCUACGUUCCACUGCUUUUCACCGCCCACUGGUCCACCCAGAACACGACUGUAAUCCUGAUAUAUGGAGGUAAGUGAUGGGGUGAUCCUGGAAAUGAGUCACUAGUUCUGUGUGUAAAUGGGCCCGUUUGAUAUUGUAUAGAUGUUGUUUAAGUCUAUUUUCUAUUGUAUACUGGGUUUCCCCAAUGUAGUGUUUUUUUGCUAAAUGUGCAAGUGAUUAUAUAUAUGACAUUUGGAGUGUAGAGUGAAAUGGAGUCUAAAACUGGAGUGGAGGUCUUGCUGUAUGAGUUUGAAAUGAAUUUUCUUGGUCUGAAGUGGGCCGUGUAGGGUUUGGGUGGUUGUGGGGGCUUGGUACUGUAUUUAGCUUGGAUGAGGAUGUCUUUGAGGCUCUUAUUCCUCCUAAAUGCUGAGAUUAUUCUAUACAGCUGGAGGGGUGUGUGUGCCUGUUGGGUGAUGGAAAAAUUGUGUUUGAACACCUGAUGUAACGGUCUGAUCCUAUGUGAGAAUGUAGUAACUAGGAGGAUGAGGAUUGUCUGCUGCUCGGAAGGGGAAUGAGAGGAGGAAAGAAGAUUGUGGUUCCGAGGGGGGUCAAUUUCCAAAUCUGUUGUUCUAGGAGGG